GGGGAUGUAGCUCAGUGGUAGAGCGCACGGUACAUGUCAGACGCCAACUCGUCCCCUUUGCUUCGGCAUCGAGGGGGGAGGGAGGGUACGUGAGUACUGGUGUAUGGUUUGCGAACUACCGUGAGGUCGCUGGUUCGAGUCCAGCCGUCUCCA